AUGGAGGGUGGCAUGGAUGAUCACGGUGGUGAAGAUGAAUUGGAGGAGAUAGAUGAGGGGGCGUAUGAGCAAGCGCAAGCAAAAAAAAGCAUGAGAUCAAAGAACUACACAAUCUUGGAAGAUCAAAUCUUGACCAAGGCUUGGAGUGCGGUGUCUCUUGAUGCUUGCACAGCGGGGCUGGCGCACGUAGACGCGCUCCACGCCGCGCUCGGCGACCUGCUCGACUUGCCCGAGGCCCAGGACGCGCUGUCCGGCGCCGGCGGCAGCGUGGACCGCCUCCUCGACUCCUUCCUCCGGCUCGUCGACGCGCACGGCUGUUUUCAGGAGGCCGUUGUUGCGCUCAAGCAGGACGUGGCCGACGCGCUGGCCGCCGUGCGUCGCCGAGACGGGGCGCGCCUUGCCUCCGCCGUGCGGGCCCAGCGCGGAGCCGGCCAAGAGCUCGCCCGCCUCGCCGCCACGGCCAGGGAGUCCGCCGUCCGGCCCUCGCGCCUGAGCAUCCUCGGCGGCACCCAAGGCAGCGCGGCGGAGGUGGAGGUGACGGGGCUGCUGAUGGAGUCGGCCGCGGCGACGGCGUCGGCUUCCGCCGCGCUGUUCGGGGCCGUGGCGGCCAUGUCCGGGUCUGUGGAGGCGGAGUCGUGCUCGUGCAAGGGCACGGCGGCGCUGGUGUGCCUGGUGAAGAAGAACAAGAAGAAGUCGUCGGCGCCGGGGUGUGGGGAGGAGGGGAUGGCGGUGGCGGCCGUGGCGGAGAGGCUGGAGGAGCUGGAGGAGUGCAUCGAGGAGCUGGAGGCCGGGAGUGAGAAGGUGUUCCGGAGCCUCGUCCAGACCAGGGUCGCGCUCCUCAACAUCCACACCCUGCACAUCUUCUAA
rnacentral:rRNA from 1 species